CUUCUGCUUGCUGAUGGGUUCAUCCAUUUGCAGAUUGAAAGCCAAGAUAUGCCUGGGCUUAGCGUCAAAACACACCCAAAUAUCAAUAAGGAUUUGUUUAACAGUCAGCAAAUUUUGGGAGCAAAAGAUCCAAACAGGCCCUUUCCGAGUGGUCAAAA